rnacentral:piRNA from 1 species
UCCCAUUUGAAUUUCCUUGUUUGAGUCUA